GCCCAAAACGUCCAGCCGCCGAAACCCACCCUCUAUCCAGCCUCCACCACGCCGCCGCCUGUGCCGCUCCCGGCGCGCCGCCGCCAUCAGCCAUGCUUCCCCUUGCCCGCGCGCUCCGGAGCCUCGGCCCGGCGGCGGCCGCGCGCGAGGGGCCCCUCCUCGCGUGGCUCUCCUCCACCAGGUUGGCCUCCUCCUCCACGCCGCCGGAGUACGAGAUGCCGUCGGUGACGUGGGGCGUGAUCCAGGGGCGGAAGGAGCGCCUUGUCUCCCGCGUGCUGGCGCUCGACUUCCUCCGCUCCGCCGGUGUGUCCGACCCCGCCGGCGAACUAGAGGCCGUCGAGCUCCCCUCCUCCCUCGAGGUGCUCCAGGAGCGCCUCGACUUCCUCCUCCGCCUCGGCCUGUCCACCGACGACCUCUCCAAUUACCCGCUUCUCCUCGCUUGCUCCCUUCGGAAGAACGUCAUCCCCGUGCUCUCCUACCUCGAGAAGCUCGGCGUCACGCGCGCCCGCCUCCCCGCCUUCGUCCGCGCCUACCCUGCGUGCCUCCACGCCUCUGUCGCCGUCGACCUCUCCCCGGUCGUCAAGGCCCUCCGCGGCCUCGACGUCGACCGCCAGGACAUUCCACGCGUCCUCGAGCGGUAUCCCGACGUCCUGGGCCUCAAGCCGGACGGCACAAUCAGCACCUCCGUCGCCUACCUCGUGGGCAUCGUCGGCGUGGCGCCACGAGACAUCGGUCCCAUGGUAACGCACUACCCUUUCUUCCUCGGCAUGAGGGUUGGCACUACCAUCAAGCCGUUGUGCGAUUACAUCACUUCUCUCGGGCUGCCCAUGCGGAUCCUGGCCAGGAUCCUCGAGAAGCGGCCGUACAUUCUGGGCUAUGAUCUUGAGGAGACGGUCAAACCAAACGUCGAGGCAUUGCUCAGCUUCGGCAUUCGGAAGGAGGCACUGCCAUUGGUGAUCGCACAGUAUCCAUCUAUACUCGGGCUGCCUCUGAAAGUGAAGCUAGCGGCACAACAGUACUUCUUCAACUUGAAGCUCCAAAUUGACCCUGAUGGAUUUGCCCGUGCGGUUGAGAAUUUGCCGCAGCUUGUAAGCUUAAAUCAGAAUGUGAUCUUGAAGCCUGUGGAGUUCCUUCGUGGACGAGGGAUAUCCAAUGAGGAUGUUGCACGGAUGGUGGUCCGGUGCCCUCAGAUUCUAUUGCAGCGGAUCGAGCUCAUGAAGAACAGCUUAUACUUCUUCAAGAGUGAGAUAAAGAGACCAAUGAGUGAAUUGUUGGAAUACCCAGAGUAUUUUACUUACAGCUUGGAGUCAAGGAUCAAGCCUAGGUACAUGAGAGUUACAAGUAAAGGGAUUAGGUGUAGCUUGGAUUGGUUCCUGAACUGCAGUGAUCUGAGGUUUGAGGAAAGGAUGCGAGGGGACUUUAUUGAAGGGGAUGCACCAGGACCUUUGUUUACAAUGGGUGGGAAGCUUCAGAUGCCGGGCAGCCAGCUAGUGUCGGAUGAUGAUAACGAGGAUACCGAUGAUGAGGUGCUAUAUAGGCGGACAGUCAUGCUCUAAUAUGGUGGAGUUUAAUACCAAAGGUCAUUCAUGACAUGUUUUCAGCAGUAUCAUAUUAGCGAGCAUCCUCACAUGCUAGGUGAGAAGGCACCAGAACAUGAUUGAGGAGUGAUCUCUUGGCACCAGCCAAAGUAGUCGGAGUGCCCAAACAACAACUUGAAGGGAUUGGCAACUCGGGUACAGCCUUUGAUCAUAUGCCCCAGCGAUGAAAGUCAGAGGUCCAUCGAUAAUUUAAGCAGGACUGCAGGAGAUAGAAUGGAUAUGAUGUGCUGGUGAUGAAAAUCUCCCUCCAGCUAAACAGUUGAUCAUUGCAUUGGUUGAUUUAUGCUACUCUAAGACAUGCCAUGGGUUGAUCAUGCAAUAGAUUCAGAUUUUUGUAAAUGUGAACUACUUACCAUCUUUAACUCAAAUGUUUGCAUAACUUUGACCCGAUGAAAUAGCACAUGACAUACAGCUUGCAUUGUGUUCCAUCAAA